AAAUGAAAACUAGUGUUGACAACAAUUAUGAAAAUGAUAAGUUCAAGAGAGAUGUAAACUCAAAGAUGGAUAUGUUGGUUGUUGACAUGAAGCUUAUAAAAUACUUUGUAUUUGCUUGUAUUGUGAUUCAACUUUUGUAUAUGGUUGUUCACAAGUAGUGUUGUUGAUUAGUGAUUGAAAUUAGUGAGUGUAAUAUUGUUGAUUAGUGAGUGUAAUGUUAUUGAUUAGUGAAUGUGAUGUAUUUUAGCUUUAACC
rnacentral:lncRNA from 1 species